AGAGCAGAGAGAGACAACAGGUUGGAGGAUCUGAACAGACUCCAGGACAGCUGGAGGAUAGAGAGCAGAGAGAGACAACAGGUUGGAGGAUCUGAGCAGACUCCAGGACAGCUGGAGGACAGAGAGCAGAGAGAGACAACAGGUUGGAGGAUCUGAACAGACUCCAGGACAGCUGGAGGAUAGAGAGCAGAGAGAGACAACAGGUUGGAGGAUCUGAACAGACUCCAGGACAGCUGGAGGAUAGAGAGCAGAGAGAGACAACAGGUUGGAGGAUCUGAACAGACUCCAGGACAGCUGGAGGAUAGAGAGCAGAGAGAGACAACAGGUUGGAGGAUCUGAACAGACUCCAGGACAGCUGGAGGAUAGAGAGCAGAGAGAGACAACAGGUUGGAGGAUCUGAACAGACUCCAGGACAGCUGGAGGAUAGAGAGCAGAGAGAGACAACAGGUUGGAGGAUCUGAACAGACUCCAGGACAGCUGGAGGAUAGAGAGCAGAGAGAGACAACAGGUUGGAGGAUCUGAACAGACUCCAGGACAGCUGGAGGAUAGAGAGCAGAGAGAGACAACAGGUUGGAGGAUCUGAACAGACUCCAGGACAGCUGGAGGACAGAGAGCAGAGAGAGACAACAGGUUGGAGGAUCUGAACAGACUCCAGGACAGCUGGAGGACAGAGAGCAGAGAGAGACAACAGGUUGGAGGAUCUGAGCAGACUCCAGGACAGCUGGAGGAUAGAGAGCAGAGAGAGACAACAGGUUGGAGGAUCUGAACAGACUCCAGGACAGCUGGAGGACAGAGAGCAGAGAGAGACAACAGGUUGGAGGAUCUGAACAGACUCCAGGACAGCUGGAGGAUAGAGAGCAGAGAAAGACAACAGGUUGGAGGAUCUGAACAGACUCCAGGACAGCUGGAGGAUAGAGAGCAGAGAGAGACAACAGGUUGGAGGAUCUGAACAGACUCCAGGACAGCUGGAGGAUAGAGAGCAGAGAGAGACAACAGGUUGGAGGAUCUGAACAGACUCCAGGACAGC